rnacentral:rRNA from 1 species
UACGCAGGGGGCAAGCGUUGUUCGGAUUCACUGGGCGUAAAGGGUGCGUAGGUGGUGAGGUAAGUCGGAUGUGAAAUCUCCGGGCUCAACCCGGAAAUGGCAUUGGAAACUACCUUGCUGGAGGAUUUGAGGGGGGAUUGGAAUACUUGGUGUAGCAGUGAAAUGCGUAGAUAUCGGAAGGAACAUCAAUGGCGAAGGCAGCUACCUGGACUAAUACUGACACUGAGGCGCGAAAGCGUGGGUAGCAAACAGG